AAAGCAAAAAUGGCAAACAACAAAAAGGAAGUUUAAUCAAGGAAAUACAAAUGAAAACAAGAUAUAACUUUUUACUUGCUGAACUGGCAAAGAUUUUAACAAAUAAUAAUAAUACCCAGUAUUUGUGAAGUUACAGAGAAAUCCAACUCAUAUACAGCUGAAUGUAUUUACCCUGAGAAUGUAAAUUGAAUGUAAUUUGGCAGUAGGUACCAAACACUUAUACAACACAUACACUUCUGGAUGCAGCAAUUUUACUUGUAGGAAUCUGCCAUAAGGAAAAAAGGAUGUAUGGGAACAGGCUUACAUACAAGGAUGCUGACCAAAGCUUUACAUAUAACAGUGAAAACAUGGAAAGAACAAAACCAAGAAUAA